CGCAGCCGCGGUAAUUCCAGCUCCAAUAGCGUAUAUUAAAGUUGUUGCGGUUAAAAAGCUCGUAGUUGAAUUUCGAGAUCAAUAUGUUGGUCGUGCCUCGGUACGUACUUGCAUAAUUGAUUUCUCCCUUCUGAUGAACCAUGAUGCCAUUAGUUUGGUGUUGUGGGGAAUCAGGACUGUUACUUUGAAAAAAUUAGAGUGUUUAAAGCAGGCUCACGCUUGAAUACAUUAGCAUGGAAUAAUGAAAUAGGACGUUUGAUUCUAUUUUGUUGGUUUCUAGGAUCGACGUAAUGAUUAAUAGGGAUAGUUGGGGGCAUUAGUAUUCAAUUGUCAGAGGUGAAAUUCUUGGAUUUAUUGAAGACUAACUACUGCGGAAGCAUUUGCCAAGGAUGUUUUCAUUAAUCAAGAACGAAAGUUAGGGGAUCGAAGACGAUCAGAUACCGUCGUAGUCUUAACCAUAAACUAUGCCGACUAGGGAUCGGAUGAUGUUAAUUUUUAAUGUACUCAUUCGGCGCCUUAA
rnacentral:rRNA from 1 species